rnacentral:rRNA from 1 species
UACGUAGGGAGCAAGCGUUGUCCGGAAUCAUUGGGCGUAAAGCGCGCGUAGGUGGCUUCGUAAGUCCGUUGUGAAAGUCAAAGGCUCAACCUUUGAAAGCCGAUGGAUACUGCGGAGCUAGAGUACGGAAGAGGCGAGUGGAAUUCCUGGUGUAGCGGUGGAAUGCGCAGAUAUCAGGAAGAACACCCGUGGCGAAGGCGGCUCUCUGGGACGGUACUGACGCUGAGACGCGAAAGCGUGGGGAGCGAACAGG